rnacentral:tRNA from 2 species
CCGCCCCUAGCUCAAUUGGUAGAGCAGCACCCUCUUAAGGUGAAUGUUCCGCGUUCGAGUCGCGGGGGGCGGACAA